UCCUACACAAUGACUCCUUUUACAAAACCUUCUUAAUUCUCUAGUCCCUAACCAAAAAUUAUACUACACGGAACAACAUUCCAAUAAAGUGUAGAAGACAAACACCAAUAACAGAGUACCAGAUGCAGAGGGACCUAAACAAUGCAGAAAAUAAAAGGCAUAACUUAAGAAGUAUAGGAAAGACUACCAACUCACACGAUACCCGAUAAGUAAUUCAUCUCGCGUUACCAAACAUGAUUAACUCGAUAUGCAUAUUUAUUCAUUGUUUACGGGUAUUAUAAUACUACAUACAUAAAACCCUUUCACUUAUAAAUCAAAAAACAUAACCCACUGCCACCGGCGAGAACCAGAGGGAGAAGACGCUGAACCAAGAAAGGACUUGGAUGUGACCAGAAGAGGAGACCCUUCCUCCUUAGCCGCCAGAGUCGCGUCAACGUUCAUCCGCCAUGCCACGUCCAGACGUUGGACACCCUCUCCUUGCAGAUCUGGCUGUCCCGAGCGUGAGCUACCUCUGUGAAUGGCGCAACGCUUUUAGCCAUUCCCACUGAUGAAGUUUCCUUUGUUCCUCGCCGAUUGAUCUCUCCGCCAUGUUAAUCCUCGACUGGAUCGACCUGUCCCUUCUGCUUCUAAGCCCCAUCACGCCGCCUACCGGAGACUACACGUCUCACCGGUAUCUUCUCUGCACCGCUGGACCGAGAGAGAGAAGAAGAAGUUGGCCGUUGGAGGAGGGGUUCCAUCUUUCUCUCCACUGUUGCCUAAUCCUAUCUUAAUACUUAGGUUCUUUUCCAUUUCAUGUUGUCCAGCUUUAUAAAAAGGGUUCUUUUAUUUGCUUUACAUAUUCAAAAUGAUACGUGAAUGGAAUAGAUGGAAUAAUAAAAAUG
rnacentral:lncRNA from 1 species